ensembl:piRNA 21ur-5993 ncRNA
UGAUCGAUUUUUUUGCUUUUU